UACGUAAGUGGCGAGCGUUGUCCGGAUUUACUGGGCGUAAAGGGAGCGUAGGCGGACUUUUAAGUGAGAUGUGAAAUACUCGGGCUCAACUUGAGUGCUGCAUUUCAAACUGGAAGUCUAGAGUGCAGGAGAGGAGAAUGGAAUUCCUAGUGUAGCGGUGAAAUGCGUAGAGAUUAGGAAGAACGCCAGUGGCGAAGGCGAUUCUCUGGACUGUAACUGACGCUGAGGCUCGAAAGCGUGGGGAGCAAACAGG
rnacentral:rRNA from 1 species